rnacentral:rRNA from 1 species
UACGUAGGGUGCAAGCGUUAAUCGGAAUUACUGGGCGUAAAGCGUGCGCAGGCGGUUAUGCAAGACAGAGGUGAAAUCCCCCGGGCUUAACCUGGGAAUGGCAUGGUGACUGCACGGCUAGAGUGUGUCAGAGGGGGGGUAGAAUUCCACGUGUAGCAGUGAAAUGCGUAGAGAUGUGGAGGAAUACCGAUGGCGAAGGCAGCCCCCCUGGGAUAACACUGACGCUCAUGCACGAAAGCGUGGGGGAGCAAACAGG